rnacentral:rRNA from 1 species
GUGAGGAAUUUUCCGCAAUGGACGAAAGUCUGACGGAGCGACGCCGCGUGGGUGAUGAAGGUUUUCGGAUCGUAAAGCCCUGUCAGGGGGGAAGAAAUCCGCGAUCGUAAAUAGCGAUUGCGGUUGACGGUACCCCCAAAGGAAGCACCGGCCAACUACGUGCCAGCAGCCGCGGUAAUACGUAGGGUGCAAGCGUUAUCCGGAAUCACUGGGCGUAAAGAGCUCGUAGGCGGCUUGGUCAGUCGCAUGUUAAAGACCCGGGCUCAACUCGGGGAAUGCGUGCGAUACUGCCUGGCUAGAGAGCGGGAGAGGAAAGUAGAAUUCCUGGUGUAGCGGUGAAAUGCAUAGAUAUCAGGAAGAAUACCCGUGGCGAAGGCGGCUUUCUAGACCGUUUCUGACGCUGAGGAGCGAAAGCCAGGGGAGCGAACGGGAUUAGAAACCCCAGUAGUCC